ensembl:lncRNA
CAUUGGAGGAAAUGUUACAGUUCCUCUUGUUUUUCAAUCAUCAGGAACAUGGAAGAUGUUCUGCAGAGAAGAUUGUGAAGGAGAAAACAUUCUCAUUAAAACAACUGAUGUCAGAGCUCAAACAGGCAGAUACAGCAUUGAAUAUAAAAGAGAAUCAACAGUUUAUGUUUUAUCUGUGAGCAUCUCAAAGCUGACUGAGUCUGACUCUGGACAGUACAGCUGUGGUUUGGGUGGAUCUCCAUCAUCAGCUUCAUACGAACGGUUUGGAGUCUUUGUUGCUGAAGCACUGCUGGAUGGAAACGAUGAUCCUGCUCAGCUGAAACGCUUCAAUAAAGAAACUGGAAGCUCUCUCACAGUCGGAUGUUACUUUAAACAACCUGGAAACAGAAAGAUGUUCUGCAGAGGAGAAUGUGGAGGAGACAACAUUCUUGUUGAAACCCGUAAAGUCAAAGCUCAGAGAGACAGAUACAACAUUGGAUAUGUUUCAGGAGUUCUGUAUGUGAGCAUCACACAGCUGACCAAGUCUGACUCAGGACCGUACACAUGUUACCUGAGUGGUUCAUCCAGAGAGUUUGAGGUCACUGUCACAGACGCGGUCGUCUCAACAGCACAGUUUCACCUCCAUUUCCAGAAGCUUCACACCUUCACCAGCUUCCACUGGAACCACAGAGCAGUCUGGACAGAGUCAGUCUGAGAGAACAUCUACAGGUGGUGUCAGCGGGACACAAACGUCUUCUCAAACUGCUGCAGAUGUUCUCCUGUAUGUGGGCCUGACUCUGGCUGUCACCAUCAUCAUCAUUUCAGUGGCUGUGCUGAUUUCCUGCAAGAAAAGAUCUUCUAAAGUAAAGGACCCUUUUGUUGAAAUAUUACAUACUACGAUCACAGAUGAUGAAGACAACUCCAGGACUGUGAUGAAUGUUUCCGACAAGGCCUUCGGCUUUCUAAACAGCGCCCCCUAUAGUCACACCAAUGAAGUCAUCUACUCUGUACCUCGGGUACAUGAAGCCCACUAUGAGAAUUGGACUCCAACUUGUGCAAUGUAAAGGCUCAACCUACCAGAACAUGGAUCCAAUCAGCAGAGACUUGGACCAAACCUGCUCUGCACUCAUAUCACAGGAGACUCUCUGGAUUUGAUCAUUUUCCAGCCUCAGACUGAAGUUUGUUCACAGAUGCUGAAAACUGAGAAUCGAUAAACUACAUAAUCCUUUCAAAAUUACGAACACUGAAUUGCGUAAUUUCUAUCAUAAUGAAUUUGCUUCUUUAUGUAAAUUUAAUAAUGAUCAAAACCAAUCACAGCACAGAAACAGCUCUUACUAAAGACAUCAGUGACCUGAAGGUCCACAGUGACCCACAGAGAGUCUCAGUUUUAGAGCUUCUCACUGCUGCCUUCAACAUUGUUGAUGAAACGCUAAUUCAAAGACUGUGAUUCGGACGGUUUAACAUGUCAGGUCCUCGACUGACUCUCAUCAUAUCAAAAGUUUAGAAGUUUUUAUGUUUGAUCCGGUAAAUUCCAUCAGGAGUUGGAUCUGCCUGAUGCUUCUUCCUGUUAGAAUAGAGUUGUUCUUACAAUAUACCUUACUAUAAAAAACUGCUGUUAUUUGUGCCAUAUUAAUAAAAUUUAAAAGAACAAUUGAAAUAAAUGAAGG